rnacentral:rRNA from 1 species
UACAGAGGUCCCAAGCGUUGUUCGGAUUCACUGGGCGUAAAGGGUGCGUAGGUGGUCAGAUAAGUUUGAUGUGAAAUCUCCGGGCUUAACCCGGAAACUGCAUUGAAUACUAUUUGGCUGGAGGGUUGGAGGGGGGACUGGAAUUCUCGGUGUAGCGGUGAAAUGCGUAGAUAUCGUAAGGAAGACCAGUGGCGAAGGCGGGUCUCUGGACAGUUCCUGACGCUGAGGCACGAAGGCCAGGGGAGCAAACGGG